GAUUUAUUUGAUAAUAUUACGUUAACGUUGUAAAGUUAUGUUUUUAUUAUUAAAUAGUAAUGAAAUGUUUAUCGGUUUUUAUGAUGGCUAGUUUAUUAAUGAAGGUAUUUUAGUACCUUAAUAUUGAUUUAUUGUAAUAUAAUUAAUAUUAUUUAUUUUAUAAGGGAUAAGCUUUAUAUAAUGUAGUAGAAUAAUAAUAAAUUUAUUUUUAGUUGUAAGUAGAAUUAAAAUUGUUUAUCUUAUGAAGUAUUAUAAAAAUUUAUUUGAGUUGAUUCAGAUUUUUAAAUUAAUAAAUAUUUGUUAAUUUUUAAUAAUUAAUUAUAAUGUUAGUAUGAGUAUUAUUUAAAUUAUUUAUUUGGGGCUAUAAAAGUGUAUUAAUGAUAAUAUAUUUAAUUAAAUAAAAUAAGGAAAAGGAAUUCGGCAAAAAUAAAUCUCGCCUGUUUAUCAAAAACAUGUCUCUUUGUACAACUAAAAAUGGAGAG
rnacentral:rRNA from 1 species